rnacentral:piRNA from 1 species
UGUUUACAGGAUGGUAAAUGCUGAACACU